ensembl:lncRNA
CGACAAAACAAGAAAUCCAAGCUGAAGAAAACCUGAUAAUGAUAUGGUCUAUAUUAUCUGUUUCUACCCCCCUUCUCUCUCUCUCUCUCUCUCUUGCUUGCUAUCUAUCUAUCUCCCCCAUCUCUGUCUCACUAUCCUCUCUGUCUCUCUCGCUAUCUAUCUCCCUCCCCCAUCUCUGUCUCACUCUCCUCUCUCUCGCUCUCACUCUCACUCUCCUCUGUCUGUCUGUCUCUCUCUCUCCCAGGCAGGGGAGUCUGUCCUCAGUGUUCUGGCAGGUUGUAUGAUGGUUAGGAAGCUGUCAGAGAUGGAGAGUGAGACGUAGACAAACUGAAAUGGUCCACCCACACAGACAGUGUGAUGAAGGCAGCACAACAGCGCCUCUUCAACCUCAGGAGGCUGAAGAAAUGUGGCUUGUCACCCAAAACCCUGACAAACAUUUACAGAUGCGCAAUCGAGAGCAUCAUGUCGGGCUGUAUCACAGCAUGGUACGGCAACUGCACCGCCCUCAACCACAAAGCUCUCCAGAGGGUGGUAAGGUCUGCACAACGCAUCACAGUGGGCAAGCUACCUGCCCUCCAUAACACCUACGGCACCCGAUGUCACAGGAAGGCCAAAAGGAUCAUCAGGGACAACAUCCACCGAGCCACUGCCUGUUCGCACCGCUAUCAUCCAGAAGGCGAGUCUGACAUGUUGCGCUCACUAUCCACCACAAGAUCCACAGUCAGCACGGAGGACUUGUUCAAGAUCAGGGAGUUCACAAAGAACUUUGGACAGG